GUGGGCUGGGCAGACAGCUGUCCGUACUUCAGUGCGGAGGAAACUCCAUCCACCAUUAGCCUUGAUGGUUUGCAGUUCGUGAGAACAAAGCUGAAAAGUUUGGGAUUUAAUUGAGCUUAAGAUGUUCAAAAGAAUCUUAGCAAGGUGUAAGAUCAAACAGCUCUGUUGAUGAAAGAGGAGCGGGUAGAUCGCAUAGACGAAUGCUGUCAAACAAAGAUGAACGUGUUUACAAGAUUUGUUACAGAAGAUGGGUUAUGCCCAGCACAC
rnacentral:RNase_P_RNA from 1 species